rnacentral:lncRNA from 1 species
GAGCCUCGGUGACCAGGAGAGUCGGCGCAAGGCCCGAGGUGAGGAUCCCAAAUUCACAGCCGCGUAUCUUCGCCCGAUUCUUGGGACUACACUCUUCCCUCUCUGAAUAAUGCCACCCCCUGCCCUAAAAGACACCCCCCAAGGCCACUUCUGAGACCCUCAGAGUCCCUAAAAGGCCUGCCGGCCCGCCCGCUAGUCUUUGCAAACAAUGAUUGGCUACCUUAGCCUAUCUCCUGCCUCCUGUCUCCUGUCCCUAUCCUGAGUUCUUGUUUGCGAUUGGUCAAUGGACCUGCCUGUCUGUUGUUGGUGAGCUCUGAUUAGUAGGAUGCCUUUCUUCCGAUUGGAGGAUGUCUUAUUCAUAGCCUCGGUCCCGCGUACCUCCAGUUCUAUUACGAUUGGGUUUAGGGCACGCCCAUCCACCCGUCUGUUCCCCCCUAUUGGCUAGCUCAACCAAAAGCUCUACCUUUAAAGUGUUGCCUCUUCUGACCGGCCUCAACUUUAGCUCCUCCCAUUGGUUGGCUGGAUCCAUGCCCCUCCUUGAGUUAACCCAGUCCCUCAUACCUUCUACAGCCCUUCCCUAACUGCAGCCUUAAAUUCCUGUGCUACCCAACUAGAUCGUGAUGUUGAUUGGAGAGAUGAGAAUACCCCGCAGGCUCAGAUUCGCCACCUCUCCCCCUCCCCCCCAACCCCCUCGCUCAGUAGCGAACCAGAAAGCUCGCUGGAGUUUGGCAGCCAGGGUAGGGUGAGGCCGGAAGAG